UACGAGGGGGGCAAAUGUUGUUCGGAAUCACUGGGCGUAAAGGGAGCGUAGGCGGGUUCUUAAGUUAGGUGUUUAAUCCCGGGGCCCAACCCGGACCGGCACUAAACUGGGAAUCUUGAAUAGUGGAGAGGUCGGUGGAAUUGGGGGUGUAGCGGUGGAAUGCGUAGAGAUCCCCAAGAACACCAGUUGCGAAGGCGGCCGACUGGACACAUAUUGACGCUGAGGCUCGAAAGCAUGGGGAGCAAACAGG
rnacentral:rRNA from 1 species